rnacentral:rRNA from 1 species
GACUUGGGAUUUGGCUAGAUUUGGGCUUGGGCUGAAAUUGGAGUUGGGGUGCAGAUCCCUCGGUUUGUUAAUAAGACGGAAAGACCCCGAGAUCUUUAUAUUGUGUUAUUUGUUUGGGGCAAAAUGUUAUGUUUUAUGUGAUUUUUGAUCCUAAAGGAUAGAAGGUUUAAGUUACCUCGGGGAUAACUAGGUAAAAAAUAAGGAGAGGUCGGAUCGAUUUAUUUUAUUGCUAUCUCGAUGUUGACUUGGGGAAAAAUAAGGGGGUGUAGGAGUUUCUUUGUUGGGUCUGUUCGACCAUAGUUUCCCUCAUGAGC